UGGGGAAUUUUCUGCAAUGGGCGCAAGCCUGACAGAGCAAUACCGCGUGAGGGAUGACGGCUUUCGAGUUGUAAACCUCUUUUGUCAAGGAGGAAGAUCUGACGUUACUUGACGAAUAAGCAUCGGCUAACUCCGUGCCAGCAGCCGCGGUAAGACGGAGGAUGCAAGUGUUAUCCGGAAUCACUGGGCGUAAAGCGUCUGUAGGUGGUUGAGCAAGUCUGUUGUUAAAGCUCAAGGCUCAACCUUGAAAAGGCAAUGGAUACUACUCGACUAGAGGUUUACAGAGGUAGAGGGAAUUUCCAGUGGAGCGGUGAAAUGCGUAGAGAUUGGAAAGAACACCAAAGGCGAAGGCACUCUACUGGGUUAUACCUGACACUGAGAGACGAAAGCUAGGGUAGCAAAUGGGAUUAGAUACCCCCGUAGU
rnacentral:rRNA from 1 species